ensembl:lncRNA
AUGAGACAGGGAACUCACAUCACUUCUGCAAGCAAGUUCUGUGAGUUUUUUAAUCCUGGACAGGAAUUUUUAAAUUCCUGUCUUUUCUUUCCUCAGGGCUCCUUCCUGCCCCUUGCUCAGGAGAGCUGUGUGAGCAGAGCGGGUUCUGGGCAUGCGACAUGUACCUUGAUGGUUACAGCUAACUGUGCUUUCCUCUUCACUGCUGGCACAUGGAGACUUUGCACCCACUGCAGGGAUCCUUGUGUAAACCCAGAAUAUUGUGCGUUGGUGAUUGAGAGCAGCUUGCUGUGACUCUGACCACAUGUUUGUCCAGUUGUGACAUCUACCAGAGUACCAAACUUACAGAUGUGGUUAAGUGAAGGAAUACUUAAGACUAUAGGUCUUGGCAGGGCUGAAGCCCAGUUGUCAGUGUUAAUACGAUGCAUGCAUUUCCAGAUAUUCCCAGAUCAGCUGAGUAACACGGAAACUUCAUGGAUCUCUGUUGUGUGCAUCUCCAGUAUAGAAAGCAUCUAAAACUGAAAAUGAAUAGUAUGGAUUCAGGUACCAGUCGGGCACCUAGGGAGAGUUCUUAAUGGCAAUGAAAAGAAAGAAUAAUUCAAAUGACAGUAAGAAUUACAUGGACAUUCUCAAAUGGAACAUCAAAACACAUAAUUUUAAAUUUCUUUUUGCCUUAGUUUUGCAUAUUUUUUUGCUUUCAUACUUUUUCUGGAAAUACAUUGAUUAAUAGAUUAAUAAUUGUGCCUCCAGAUGUUACAAUAACAUAAAAGUCAGAGGAAAACCAGCAAGAAAGUUAACAUUUCUUUUUUCACAAUAGGGCCCAAAAUAUUCUGUACUACAUCUAAGGCUGUGGCCAUACUGAAAAAUGAGGUUGCAUAAACACUCCAUAGCUUUUAAAUCUGCUCUGUGAACUACAUUUUCAGGUAUUCUUUCAAAAGGGUAGCAUAACUACAUGUUCUGCAAGACUGCAUCAACAUGUGUGCAGGGAGAGCUGAGGUCCUGGGCAAGAGUUGCAUCAUCUUUUCCUAUCUGUUGAGUGCUUGGCUUUGCCACCUUAAUAAUUUCAUUUUUAUAACAGUUCUUCUGUUGUUCUUGGAAGCAAAUGUACAUUUCUAUGUUUUGUAAUUCUGUAAAUAAUGUAUUUAGAUGAUUUAGAAAGAUUUGAUGCCUAUCACAGCAGGACUCCAAGUUAGAGCAAGAAAUACGCUUUUAAAAAUGUUCUUCCCGAGUGUUUACCAAGACAGAAAGCUGAAUUUGGUUUGGCUCUGUUCAUGCUCCUUUUGUUUACUUUUUGUGAAUAUUUUAACUAAUAGGUUUGCUGUUGGGAUUGUUUGUAGAAACAGCACAUUUUAAGCAAAUAUUUCAAAAAUGUCAUGGAAAAUAUAUUUUAGACCCUGAAAUGGAAAUGUUUUCACUAGGAAUCUAAUUAUAAGACUUACUGUAAUGUAUGCUUUUUUGUGCAAUCAUCAAAUUAGAAAAUAUGUCUACGCAUACAUAGUUUUACACUUACUAACUAUGACCUACUGGGUUAAAUAGCAACAACAGAAAGGGCGUUGAAGAUCACCCAUGUGAGACUUCAGAAUUCCAGGUACUAAGUAAUUUCAACAAUAUAAUUUAAAUCCGUUGACAUUUUCAUUCCUCCAGAUACUGCCCUUUGCAUAAGCCAAUCUUAAAGUCUGUGUUUCAGUGUUAGGAUGUGGUGUGAUUUUGUUAGAUGGAUCAAAGCACGCAAGAAAAGAGAUUCUGCUGCUUAAAAAAGAACAUGGAGAAUCCUGAACUGUGAUCACAAUGUUUGUAACAGAGAAAAAAAGUGUAAUAAUUUCAAGUCUGUUUACGUGCAAUUCUUUGUCUGCAAAUUCUCUCGUGGGUUUGAAAUCUUAUAAAGAAUUUUCUCUUGCUUUUUAAAAUCUCUCCCUUCACCUUUUAGAAAAGGAAGAAUAAUCGUGUUUGUAUGUCUCUCUAAUAUAAACAUAAUUAACAUCAGUGGCAUAUGGAAUUAAUGCUGCCUGUAAGGAAAGAGCUUCACAAUUAAAUCAUAGAUUUGCUGUUGUGCAGUUUGAAGAUGUGAGCUUUGCUCACUAAACAAUGGGUUUAUAUGCCAUAUUCCAUAGAUUCUCAUUACAUGUCUUGUGUCAGCAAAAUUAUAUUAGGCAAUCUCACUACUUGCAUCAGCUUAUAUUAAUAUUAUUUGUAAGACAAAAUGGCUCUUGACGUUGUGCCUCUACUCAUUAUCAGAAAUCAUUUUGCUCUAGAAAUGUUAAUAAUGAAGUUUACAUAUGAUAACAUUACUAUUUGUUUUAAUAAUUUCCAAUAAAAACAACUACUGUUUUAGUGACUCA